rnacentral:rRNA from 1 species
GAGUUUGAUCAUGGCUCAGAUCCGAACGCUGGCGGCAGGCCUAACACAUGCAAGUCGAGCGGUUGAAGGUAGCUUGCUACCUGAUGCAGCGGCGAACGGGUGAGUAAUGCAUGGGAAUCUGCCUGGUAGUGGGGGACAACGUCUCGAAAGGGACGCUAAUACCGCAUACGCCCUACGGGGGAAAGGGGGGGAUCUUCGGACCUCUCGCUAUCAGAUGAGCCCAUGUCGGAUUAGCUAGUUGGUGGGGUAAAGGCCUACCAAGGCGACGAUCCGUAACUGGUCUGAGAGGAUGAUCAGUCACACUGGAACUGAGACACGGUCCAGACUCCUACGGGAGGCAGCAGUGGGGAAUAUUGGACAAUGGGCGCAAGCCUGAUCCAGCCAUGCCGCGUGUGUGAAGAAGGCCUUCGGGUUGUAAAGCACUUUCAGUGGGGAGAAAGGUGAUUCACCUAAUACGUGAGUCAAUUGAUGUUACCCACAGAAGAAGCACCGGCUAACUCCGUGCCAGCAGCCGCGGUAAUACGGAGGGUGCAAGCGUUAAUCGGAAUUACUGGGCGUAGAGCGCACGUAGGUGGUUUGUUAAGCUAGCUGUGAAAUCCCCGGGCUCAACCUGGGCACCUGCAGUUA